rnacentral:rRNA from 1 species
AGUAAUACCCUGCUUCCAGGAAAAGCCACUAAGCUCCAGCUACACACGACCGUACCGCAAACCGACACUGGUGCGCGAGAUGAGUAUUCUAAGGCGCUUAAGAGAACUCAGGAGAAGGAACUCGGCAAAUUGACACCGUAACUUCGGAAGAAGGUGUGCCUUUAGUAGGUGAAGUCCCUCGCGGAUGGAGCCCAAUGAGGUUGCAAAAAAUCGGUGGCUGCGACUGUUUAAUAAAAACACAGCACUCUGCAAACACGAAAGUGGACGUAUAGGGUGUGACGCCUGCCCGAUGCUGGAAGAUUAAAUGAUGGGGUGCAAGCUCUUGAUUGAAGUCCCAGUAAACGGCGGCCGUAACAAUAACGGUCCUAAGGUAGCGAAAUUCCUUGUCGGGUAAGUUCCGACCUGCACGAAUGGCGUAACGAUGGCCACACUGUCUCCUCCUGAGACUCAGCGAAGUUGAAAUGUUUGUGAUGAUGCAAUCUCCCCGCGGAAAGACGGAAAGACCCCAUGAACCUUUACUGUAGCUUUGUAUUGGACUUUGAACAGAUCUGUGUAGGAUAGGUGGGAGGCUUUGAAGUGUGGUCGCUAGAUCGCAUGGAGCCAACGUUGAAAUACCACCCUGGUGUGUUUGAGGUUCUAACCUAGGCCCGUAAUCCGGGUUGGGGACAGUGCAUGGUAGGCAGUUUGACUGGGGCGGUCUCCUCCCAAAGCGUAACGGAGGAGUUCGAAGGUACGCUAGGUACGGUCGGACAUCGUGCUAAUAGUGCAAUGGCAUAAGCGUGCUUAACUGCGAGACUGACAAGUCGAGCAGAUGCGAAAGCAGGACAUAGUGAUCCGGUGGUUCUGUAUGGAAGGGCCAUCGCUCAACGGAUAAAAGGUACUCUGGGGAUAACAGGCUGAUACCGCCCAAGAGUUCAUAUCGACGGCGGUGUUUGGCACCUCGAUGUCGGCUCAUCUCAUCCUGGGGCUGUAGCCGGUCCCAAGGGUAUGGCUGUUCGCCAUUUAAAGAGGUACGUGAGCUGGGUUUAAAACGUCGUGAGACAGUUUGGUCCCUAUCUUCCGUGGGCGCUGCAGAUUUGAGGAAGCCUGCUCCUAGUACGAGAGGACCGGAGUGGACGCACCUCUGGUGUAUCGGUUGUCACGCCAGUGGCAUUGCCGAGUAGCUAUGUGCGGAAGAGAUAACCGCUGAAAGCAUCUAAGCGGGAAACUCGUUUCAAGAUGAGAUCUGCCGGGGGCUUGACCCCCCUAAAGAGUCGUUCAAGACCAGGACGUUGAUAGGCUGGGUGUGGAAGCGCAGCAAUGCGUUAAGCUAACCAGUACUAAUUGCUCGUGCGGCUUGACCCU